CCUACGGGAGGCAGCAGUGGGGAAUUUUCCGCAAUGGGCGAAAGCCUGACGGAGCAACGCCGCGUGAGGGAUGAAGGCCUCUGGGCUGUAAACCUCUUUUAUCAAGGAAGAAGAUCUGACAGUACUUGAUGAAUAAGCCACGGCUAAUUCCGUGCCAGCAGCCGCGGUAAUACGGGAGUGGCAAGCGUUAUCCGGAAUUAUUGGGCGUAAAGCGUCCGCAGGCGGUCUGUCAAGUCUGCUGUUAAAGCGUGGAGCUUAACUCCAUUUCGGCAGUGGAAACUGACAGACUAGAGUGUAGUAGGGGCAGAGGGAAUUCCCGGUGUAGCGGUGAAAUGCGUAGAUAUCGGGAAGAACACCAGUGGCGAAGGCGCUCUGCUGGGCCAUAACUGACGCUCAUGGACGAAAGCCAGGGGAGCGAAAGGGAUUAGAUACCCCUGUAGUCCUGGCCGUAAACGAUGAACACUAGGUGUCGGGGGAAUCGACCCCCUCGGUGUCGUAGCCAACGCGUUAAGUGUUCCGCCUGGGGAGUACGCACGCAAGUGUGAAACUCAAAGGAAUUGACGG
rnacentral:rRNA from 1 species